CACAUGCAGUCGAGGGGCAGCAUUUUAGUUUGCUUGCAAACUAAAGAUGGCGACCGGCGCACGGGUGAGUAACACGUAUCCAACCUGCCGAUAACUCGGGGAUAGCCUUUCGAAAGAAAGAUUAAUAUCCGAUGGUAUAUUAAAACCGCAUGGUUUUACUAUUAAAGAAUUUCGGUUAUCGAUGGGGAUGCGUUCCAUUAGUUUGUUGGCGGGGUAACGGCCCACCAAGACUACGAUGGAUAGGGGUUCUGAGAGGAAGGUCCCCCACAUUGGAACUGAGACACGGUCCAAACUCCUACGGGAGGCAGCAGUGAGGAAUAUUGGUCAAUGGACGAGAGUCUGAACCAGCCAAGUAGCGUGAAGGAUGACUGCCCUAUGGGUUGUAAACUUCUUUUAUAUGGGAAUAAAGUAUUCCACGUGUGGGAUUUUGUAUGUACCAUAUGAAUAAGGAUCGGCUAACUCCGUGCCAGCAGCCGCGGUAAUACGGAGGAUCCGAGCGUUAUCCGGAUUUAUUGGGUUUAAAGGGAGCGUAGGUGGAUUGUUAAGUCAGUUGUGAAAGUUUGCGGCUCAACCGUAAAAUUGCAGUUGAAACUGGCAGUCUUGAGUACAGUAGAGGUGGGCGGAAUUCGUGGUGUAGCGGUGAAAUGCUUAGAUAUCACGAAGAACUCUGAUUGCGAAGGCAGCUCACUAGACUGCAACUGACACUGAUGCUCGAAAGUGUGGGUUAUCAAACAGGAUUAGAUACCCUGGUU
rnacentral:rRNA from 1 species